rnacentral:tRNA from 1 species
GUUUUAAUAGUUUAAACAAAACAUUGGUCUUGUAAAUCAAAAUUAAGGUAUAACCUUUUAAAACU